rnacentral:rRNA from 1 species
UAGGGAAUCUUCGGCAAUGGGGGCAACCCUGACCGAGCAACGCCGCGUGAGGGAAGAAGGUUUUCGGAUCGGAAAGCUCUGUUGUAAGAGAAGAACGUGUGUGAGAGUGGAAAGUUCACACAGUGACGGUAACUUACCAGAAAGGGACGGCGAACUACGUGCCAGCAGCCGCGGUAAGACGUAGGUCCCGAGCGGUGUCCGGAUUUAGUGGGAGUAAAGCGAGCGCAGGCGGUUUAAUAAGUCUGAAGUUAAAGGCAGUGGCUUAACCAUUGUUCGCUUUGGAAACUGUUAAACUUGAGUGCAGAAGGGGAGAGUGGAAUUCCAUGUGUAGCGGUGAAAUGCGUAGAUAUAUGGAGGAACACCGGUGGCGAAAGCGGCUCUCUGGUCUGUAACUGACGCUGAGGCUCGAAAGCGUGGGGAGCAAACAGG